rnacentral:lncRNA from 1 species
GGGUUAGGGUAUGGAUUAAAAAAAAAAGGAAAACAAGGGGCUUUUGGUUCAGAGUCGAUGUUACAUCCUGUGUUUGUUUCUUUUAUUUCCUCGGUUUUCUUUUCUUAUUUAUUUUUCACCGACUGCCCUUUUUCGUGCUUCUUUCUCUUGAAUCUUCGAGUAGUUGAUUUUUAUUUUUCUUUCUUUUUCUCGAUUCAUCAAUUUUUCUUUUUCUUUUGUUUUUUCACUUUCUUGGGCUUUGAGAGCUUUUGGGGUUUUUACCCCAAACUUAGCUUUUCAACACAGC